UGAGCGCAAGUACUCAGUCUG
rnacentral:misc_RNA from 1 species